rnacentral:tRNA from 1 species
GCCUGGUUGGCUCAGUGGCUGAGCAUCUGCCUUCGGCUCAGGGCAUCAUCACAGAGUCCUGGGAUCGAGUCCCACAUCAGGCU